AUUGAACGCUGGCGGCAUGCCUUACACAUGCAAGUCGAACGGCAGCAUAGGAGCUUGCUCCUGAUGGCGAGUGGCGAACGGGUGAGUAAUAUAUCGGAACGUGCCCUAGAGUGGGGGAUAACUAGUCGAAAGACUAGCUAAUACCGCAUACGAUCUGCGGAUGAAAGUGGGGGAUCGCAAGACCUCAUGCUCCUGGAGCGGCCGAUAUCUGAUUAGCUAGUUGGUGGGGUAAAAGCUCACCAAGGCGACGAUCAGUAGCUGGUCUGAGAGGACGACCAGCCACCCUGGGACUGAGACACGGCCCAGACUCCUACGGGAGGCAGCAGUGGGGAAUUUUGGACAAUGGGGGCAACCCUGAUCCAGCAAUGCCGCGUGAGUGAAGAAGGCCUUCGGGUUGUAAAGCUCUUUUGUCAGGGAAGAAACGGUUCUGGAUAAUACCUGGAGCUAAUGACGGUACCUGAAGAAUAAGCACCGGCUAACUACGUGCCAGCCGCCGCCGUAA
rnacentral:rRNA from 1 species